UACAAAGUUGGCAGAAAAAUGUGGAUAAUUUAGGUUUAUUUUAUAAGAAUUAGAAUAAUCUUACUUUGUAU
rnacentral:tRNA from 1 species